rnacentral:lncRNA from 1 species
GAGGUGCGCGCGCAGCGUGGGAGGAGGCCAACUCUCGGGGCGCUCCCUAGCCCUGGGUGGGUGGAGCGGGGGAAGCGGAGUACGUUGGACCCGGCUCCGCCCUACCCCACGGGGCCGCCUGGAGAGGUGCUGGGAGCUGGGUGGAGCUUAGAGGAAUUAAACUUUGGCCCUGCGCCUCGUCCAGCCUAGGUUCCACCCUUUUCUGGGAACUUUACACCCCGCCACUCCUGAGCACCGCACACCGGCUUCCUCCCAGUCCCUCAUCUGAGAACUCAUGAAGCCACUUGGAAUCCCUCUCUGCUUUGCCUGGCUCAUUCCAUGUCAAUUUCAGAUCUUCACUUCAGGUCAGCUCCAAGGAGGCUAUCCUUGCCCAUCUUCCUAAAAUAGAGCUCUCAAAACCUGGCUGUUUUCCUUCAGAGCACUGGCCUCCAAUUGCUCCGGUAGAUUGCAAAUGACCUGCUUUCUUUCUGUUCCCGGGCGUUUGGACCCCUGUCUUGGACCGCUGUCGGAUAGUAAAUCCCAAGUAAGGUACCUGCCGUCGGCAGAUUUGAGCUUUCUUCUUGGACACCUAAUACCCAGAGUCCUCCAGGCUCCGGUAGAUUGCAAAUGACCUGCUUUCUUUCUGUUCCCGGGCGGCAUCGGACCCGUCGGAGAGUAAAUCCCAAGUAAGGUACCUGCCGUUGGCAGAUUUGAGCUUUCUUCUUGGACACCUAAUACCCACAGUCCUCCAGGCUCCGGUAGAUUGCAAAUGACCUGCUUUCUUUCUGUUCCCGGGUGGCAUCGACCCGUCGGAGAGUAAAUCCCAAGUAAGGUACCUGCCGUUGGCAGAUUUGAGCUUUCUUCUUGGACACCUAAUACCCACAGUCCUCCAGUAAAUCCCAAGCAAGGUACCUGCCGUCAGCAGAUUUGAGCUUUCUUCUUGGACACCUAAUACCCACAGUCCUCCAGGCUCCGGUAGAUUGCAAAUGACCUGCUUUCUUUCUGUUCCCGGGCUGCGUUCGGACCCCUGUCGGAUAGUAACUCCCAAGUAAGGUACCUGCCGUCGGCAGAUUGGAGCUUUCUUCUUGGAGACCUAAUACCCACAGUCCUCCAGGCUCCGGUAGAUUGCAAAUGACCUGCUUUCUUUCUGUUCCCGGGCUGCGUUCGGACCCCUGUCGGAGAGUAAAUCCGAAAAAAACAAACAAAGACAUGGAUUUACUGUGCAUAUUAGCAGAUCCAUACUGGAAAAUGCAUGGAGGUUUCAUAUACACCACUUACAGAUGCAGAAAGGCAGUGAACUCCUCCGGAGUAGCUGUCAGGUCACCAUUGAGGUCUGCAGCUUUGAAUCUUCUCUCAUCACGUGGCAGCAUCUUUUUAAAGGUGUGAUGAUCUGAAGAAUCAUGAAACUCUGCGGGGUUUCCUAGGUUUUCAGCUCCUCAGUAGUGACAAAGCCAUACCCAUCAUUGUCGAUUCGAUCAACAAUCUUCCCUAGCCUCUCCUUGCUCUCGUCCGGGGUGAGCUCGUCGAAGUUCUUGGAGUCCUCCUUGCCCAGGAAGGCCUCGUGGUCGUACUGGAAGCUCUGGUUGUCCUCAGGGGGCCGCUCGCCCAGCUCCGAGUCGGGCCGCACCACGCGCUCUUUGCGCACCGUGGGCUUGGCCCGCAGAACCCGCGGCGCCAGCACCAGCGCCAGCAGCAGCCCCAGGGCUAACCCCAGGCGGCCACCGCGCGCCAUCGUCCCGAGGAGAGGGCGGCCGGGAGGGAGACGCUGAGCGAGCGACAACAGCGGCAGCUCGGGAAUGGGGGCUCGGAGCGCGGCGGCCAAGUUUUAUGUUAUGUAUAUUUUACAAGUAAAAAAAUUUUUUCACCUCAGCCUGAACUGAACACUAGCUGACAGACGUUUUGAUUUCUUUGACCAUCACGGAAUCGUGGCCAAGCGCGGUGGCUCACAUCUGUAAUCCCAACACUUUGGGAGGUCAAGAUGGGCGGAUUGCUUGAAUCCAGGUGUUUGAGAUCAGCCUGGGCAACAUGACAAAACCCUGUUUCUAGUAAAAAUACAAAAAUUAACCAGGCUCAAGCCAUGACCAUGCACCAUUGCACUCC